CUCGUUAGUGGGAAGGUGUUUCACCUGUGCUGACUUGUCCAUCUCGUUAGUGUGCAGGUGUUUCACCUGUGCUGACUUGUCCAUCUCGUUAGUGUGCAGGUGUUUCACCUGUGCUGACUUGUCCAUCUCGUUAGUGGGAAGGUGUUUCACCUGUGCUGGCUUGUCCAUCUCGUUAGUGUGCAGGUGUUUCACCUGUGCUGGCUUGUCCAUCUCGUUAGU